GACGAACGCUGGCGGCGUGCUUAACACAUGCAAGUCGAACGGAAAGGCCCUGCUUUUGUGGGGUGCUCGAGUGGCGAACGGGUGAGUAACACGUGAGUAACCUGCCCUUGACUUUGGGAUAACUUCAGGAAACUGGGGCUAAUACCGGAUAGGAGCUCCUGCUGCAUGGUGGGGGUUGGAAAGUUUCGGCGGUUGGGGAUGGACUCGCGGCUUAUCAGCUUGUUGGUGGGGUAGUGGCUUACCAAGGCUUUGACGGGUAGCCGGCCUGAGAGGGUGACCGGCCCCAUUGGGACGGGGGUACGGCCCAGACCCCUACGGGGGGGAGGGGGGGGGAAUAUGGCAAAAGGGGCGGAAGCCUGAUGCAGCAACGCCGGGUGGGGGAUGACGGCCUUCGGGUUGUAAACCGCUUUCGCCUGUGACGAAGCGGGAGGGACGGUAAUGGGUAAAGAAGCACCGGCAAACUCCGU
rnacentral:rRNA from 1 species